UGAACAUUCAAACAUGCCAUAUCAUAUCGCUUAUUUAUGUUUUCACCACACCAGCGGUACACCACAUGGAUCUGUGGCCUGCUGUACAUCAUAUACACACGGACACGGAAAGCAUCACAGGCGGGUGCAGCUCCGACCCUGCGAGAUCCACCGUCGGCGAUGAGCCUGUGAUCUAAGACAUCUUGACGUGCUCCAUGCGCUGCCUCUCCAUGUACUCGAAGAGGCUGCCGUCGUACAUGCGCCGGAUGGCCUCCCUCGACAGGUACCCUUCGUCGUCCCGCGCCAGCACGUACAGGAUCGACCACUCCAGCUUCAUCGCCACCCUGCAUCCAUCCGUAUCAUCUCACACCAGUCAGUUAUACAACAACAUAGCCGCAGCAUGUAGCGACUGAAACUGAAGGUCCAGUCAUGCUGAUCGUGUAAUUAGUCGGUUACCAGCCGAAGAAAUCGAACACCUCCCGGGACCCCUCGGUCAUCCGCCACAGCUCCCUGUAGCUCAGCCUGUCCGGGUACGUGCGGGCGUACUUGCUGAAGAUGUUCUCGAAAUUCACCGGCAUGAACCUGCACAACAUACAACACACAUUUCACAUUCGCCGCCACCACGUCGGUACAUAAUUAACAGUAAUUACUACUACUACACACCGGCCCUCUUUGUCGUAGGUGCCCGAGUCACUCCCGUGCUUGCUCUUGUGGAUGUUGUGCACGUAGAUAGGGAAGAGAGGGUUGGGCAGCCAACCCUGCACAGCCACAAAUCACAGUCAAUACAUAUACAAAAGACUACUCCCUCUGUUCCUAAAUAUUUGUCUUUCUAGAGAUUUAAUAUUUGUACGGAGAAAAACUGAGUGAAUCUACACUCUAAAAUUUGUAGGGAGUAAAUGAAGCACGGUGUGAUUUCUGAAGUCGAUUCCUCUAUUCGAGGGAUAGCUCACUCACGGGCAGGGUGGGAUAGCUCAUGACCAGGUUCACCAGAAACGCGAU
rnacentral:lncRNA from 1 species